UGGACGACCGGGUGGUGGUGGCCAUGGGUUCGAAGGCUCAUUGUCGGCAGCCGGUUCUGGAUGCUGUGGUCACUCCUUCUAUCUACUACACACAGGUCUGAGCUACCGAACCGAGCGUGAGUCAGCGCACGAGCACCAACAGUGCACAGUCACACUCCCUCCUAGCUGAGCGGCACUCUGUAAGCCUACAUGGAGUACACACACCAGGGGACCAUGGCGUCGAGCGCGAGAGUUUUAGCAGUCACGGCGCACAGCACUCACAUGAUGACGUUUAGUUUAGCUCCUUUCAUUUCACUUCCAUAUUUGCACUUUCAUUUCUUCUAACAUUCGUGUUUGCUUGGUCAAUUAACAUGCAACACGUUGUUGAGUGCAUGGCGGACGACAUGCUUCCUGUAAUGGAACCACCACCACCACCUGCUGGACCACAACCAGUGCUACUUACCUUUGAGGAAUUUCUGGCACAGCACCUGGUGACUACGGUGGGAACCGGUGGAUCGUCCGUUGGUGGUGGUUCCGGUCUUGGCAUCACUCCUGAGUCACAGAUCCCGGUCACUCUGACUAUCGAGGAGGUGGCGGUGGCGGUAGCGGUAGCGCUAUCGCUAGCAGUGACGACCUGGGCUUUGGCGGACUUGGCUGUAAUGAACUUGGCGGUGCUGGUGGACGUCCUGGCGCUUAAGCAUGUGGGUCUUUAGAUGACUUGUGCUCUUUUAUGCUCCUUUAGAUGACUUGUGCUUCUUUAGAUGCUUAUGUUGUUUGUGAUGAUGCUUAUGUUGUUUGCGAUGAUGCUUAUGUUUGUGAUGAUAUUUAUGUUCUUGUGAUGUUGGUUGUGAGGAUGUUGGUGAUGUGCUAUAUGUGUAUUUCAUCAUAUAUAUCUGAUGUCUAUUUGAAUUGAAUUGAAUUGAAUUGAAUUAAAACAGAGAAAAGGAAAAAAAA